rnacentral:rRNA from 1 species
CCUACGGGUGGCAGCAGUGAGGAAUAUUGGUCAAUGGACGAGAGUCUGAACCCGCCAAGUAGCGUGAAGGAUGACUGCCCUAUGGGUUGUAAACUUCUUUUAUAUGGGAAUAAAAUGUUCCACGUGUGGGAUUUUGUAUGUACCAUAUGAAUAAGGAUCGGCUAACUCCGUGCCAGCAGCCGCGGUAAUACGGAGGAUCCGAGCGUUAUCCGGAUUUAUUGGGUUUAAAGGGAGCGUAGGUGGAUUGUUAAGUCAGUUGUGAAAGUUUGCGGCUCAACCGUAAAAUUGCAGUUGAAACUGGCAGUCUUGAGUACAGUAGAGGUGGGCGGAAUUCGUGGUGUAGCGGUGAAAUGCUUAGAGAUCACGAAGAACUCCGAUUGCGAAGGCAGUUCACUGGACUGCAACUGACACUGAGGCUCGAAAGUGUGGGUAUCAAACAGGAUUAGAUACCCCAGUAGUC